rnacentral:rRNA from 1 species
UACGAACUGUGCGAACGUUAUUCGGAAUCACUGGGCUUACAGGGUGCGUAGGCGGCUUGUUAAGUAGGGUGUGAAAGCCCCCGGCUCAACCGGGGAAUUGCGCCCUAAACUGGCGAGCUGGAGUGAGAUAGGGGGUGUGUGGAACUUCCGGUGGAGCGGUGAAAUGUGUUGAUAUCGGAAGGAACGCCGGUGGCGAAAGCGACACACUGGAUCUUGUCUGACGCUGAGGCACGAAAGCCAGGGGGAGCAAACGGG